CCUACGGGCGGCAGCAGUGAGGAAUAUUGGUCAAUGGGCGCGAGCCUGAACCAGCCAAGUAGCGUGAAGGAUGACUGCCCUACGGGUUGUAAACUUCUUUUAUAAAGGAAUAAAGUGAGGCACGUGUGCCUUUUUGUAUGUACUUUAUGAAUAAGGAUCGGCUAACUCCGUGCCAGCAGCCGCGGUAAUACGGAGGAUCCGAGCGUUAUCCGGAUUUAUUGGGUUUAAAGGGAGCGUAGAUGGGUGGUUAAGUCAGUUGUGAAAGUUUGAGGCUCAACCGUAAAAUUGCAAGUGAUACUGGCAGUCUAGAGUACAGUUGAGGUAGGCGGAAUUCGUGGUGUAGCGGUGAAAUGCUUAGAUAUCACGAAGAACACCGAUUGCGAAGGCAGCUUACUAAACUGCCACUGACAUUGAUGCGCGAAAGUGUGGGUAUCAAACAGGAUUAGAUACCCCGGUAGUC
rnacentral:rRNA from 1 species